CAUGAUCUGAUAUAGUUUUGAUUGGUCAUAUAAGGUUACUGGCUAGCUGAAUAGAGAUUUCCUACGUGCUACUAUAAGUUUCAAACGGUCAGCUUAUUAGCUGGGUUCACUUAGCAAAAAUGUAGCUCUCAGCCUUAAACCACCAUGCAUCAUAUACUAGAAAGUUUGCUGAUAGAACAAGAAAGGCGUUGCUAGUACUGUUCAUUGAAGUGCAAUCAGCUAUGUUCUUGCUUUGUGCAUUUGAGGCUUCAAGCAAAUUGAGGGGAGCAAAUGCACUUAACUUACACUAUGUAUUUUAACUUGCAUGCCAACUUGUCUUCGUGAUGGUAUCUGUCGUAUCUAGGGUUUCUUUCAUUUUAUUCUUUCCAUCAGCUUUGCAUAAUUCACAUAGAUGACCACAUGCUAUCCACACAAUUAUUUCUUUCAAUUUCUUAUGACUUUGGGUCUUAACUAAAAACCAGCAUGCUUGUAUUGGAUUUUGCUUGUAGCUGUAGUGAAAUUUUGGUCAAAUAUGUUAUGAGUUGUUAUGUAAAAGGACGACAUGUUAAUCUAUCUCAACUUUUACCAAAUAUACAUAAAAGAAUUAAUAUUAUUUAUGAUACCAAAUAAUUAUAAUUAGACAUACCAUUAACUAUAUUUUCAUAAUAUACCUAUUUGGAGUCAAAAACAUUAAUAAUAUUUUUAUAAACUUAGUAAAACUUAAUAUAGUUUGACUCAAUCCAAAGUGAGAAUUGCAUUCUUUUUGGGACGGAGGUAAUAUAUGUGUAAUAUGUGGUAGUUUUGUUCACUGAAUUUUGGCCCUAGUCUUGACCAAUUCCUUGGUCAUCCCUGAAUUUGAGCGCAUAAGUUUAUUUCUACUAGGAAGGAAGAAUGCAAUGUGCAAACUGGAAAACAAGAACAUUCUGCUAUGUCUAUUUCUUUCCUUUAAAUGGAGAAAUGCGACGAGUAAACUGAAAAAACAACAUGUUGCUAUGGCUGUUCCUUUACCUUACAUGGAGAAAUGCGUUGAGUAAUAAACUGAAAAGAAAAAAACAGCAACAUAUUGCUAUGGCUGUUUCUUCCCUUUACAUGGAGAGACUGGGAAAUGGGGAAUUGGAGAAAAUAUUACUGGCUGGCAAAGUCUUUGAUUUGAAGAAGGAAAGUGGAAGGGAAAUGGGGAACAUGGAUCCAAAACUCUUCUUUUUUCAAUCUGCAUUUAUUUUUAGAAAUGAGCAUGAAGGAUGUUUCAUAUAAGUUUGGAACUGAACCGGAAAUUCAUUCAAAAUUUCACAGGUUGAUAUGAGUUGUUAAUUUGAGGCUGUACAGUUCCAUCAGCAAUGGUUUAUUGUACUCACUGUGCUGAUUACUGCCCCUCCAUAAAGGACCCCGACAAAGGAUACAUAUGUUGUGGUACAUGUGGAAAGGUUCUUGAUCAGGAAAUAUAUACUGAUGAGCCUAAUUUUGUUAAAGAUAGCACGGGGCAGAGCCGCUUGGCUGGAAGUAUUCUGACAAGCAUUGAGUCUGGAUAUUCAAUGUCCCAUCAAAGAACCUUAGGAAAAGGGAAGGAUGAGAUUAGUCAGAUUGUCAAUAACUUACAUAUCAGCGGUGGAGAUACUAUCAUUUCGAAGGCUUUUCAGUACUAUGAGCUAGCUCUUGACCGUAAUUUUACAAGGGGUCGUAGAACAACACAUGUUGCAGCUGCUUGCCUUUACAUUGCCUGCCGGAACAAGUUCCAUGUCGAGGGAUUGUGGAACCAGCAAGCUGUGUAGUCCAUCGAGAGUACAGGGAAGAAUGGAAGUCUGUUUCUAAGAGAAGAAUAGGGAAAAGAUGAGGGAAGGAUCAGACACACUGUAAGGAACUUGCCUUGCUUUGCUAGGCAAAGCUAGCCUCUCCCAGCCAUGCUAGGCGAUGCUAGUGAAGGUUCCAAGCAGACCUUAUUUCGUCCAAAAGGUCAUAUGUGUCAUUGAUUAUUGCUGAAUUCCCAAUUUAAUUUAUUAUGUCUUUCUUAAUGCUCCAAUAUGUCUUUCUUAAUCCUCAAAAUACUGCUUUCACCAUCAUGUUUUUGGUGGUAUCUUUUGCAAAGUCUAUUCUGGCUUGACUUCCUUUUAUUCCUUCUUUUUUUUGGCUUCAGCAAGCUAUAUUGUUUUUUUUGAACUGUACAGCAGGGGAGACCCCCACUGUAGUAGUAUAUUAAAAUUAAUAAAAAUAAGUAAAAAGCUGUACAAAGCAUGGGGAUGGCAUGAUCCCCAUUAAAAAAAACCCAACUUCAGAUGCUACACAUGGUAGCUACUGUACAGAAUUGACCCAAUUUAGAAAGUCCUCUCUACUGUUAUCUUUUAAUCUGUGAGAUUGUAACUUGGCCUCCUCAAUGAAGUGGAAGGUCCAUGAGUUGAUGGAUGGCCUGAUGCCCUCAAAUAUUAAAGCAUUCCUCUGUUUCCAUAUAUUCCAGCAAGCUAUAAUAAAAAUCUCCAUGAAGAAACUGUUGUUGUUUAAUUCUUGAGCUGUCUUCAUCAUUCUGAAGAAUGGAAGGUUCUGAUUCCAUUGCAUGCCAAUCUUGCCCCAGCAAGCUCUACCAAAGUUGCAGUUGAAGAACAAGUGAAAUGCUGUUUCUUCAAUGUUUUCAUUACACAUUACACAACUAUAAUUUCCUCCAUUGUAUGAAAACUCCUUCUUCUCAAUAGGUUCUUUGUGUUUAAUCUGUCCAUUAAAAGAAGCCAACAAAAGACUCUCAACUUGUUGCUGCAUUUGGACUUCCAUAUCCAGAGAAAAGGGUCUGGUGGCUUGAUGUUUCUAAAUUGAAAGUUAUAGAACUGCUUGGAGGAAUAUUUGUUGGAACCCCAUAUGUAGUGCCAAGUGUCUUGUCGAUCUACUGAUACUUGUAUUCCCUGGAUGAUGCUUUGAAGUUCUUCAAACUCUUGGUAGGCUUCCAUUGAUAAUGGUGUGUAGAAUUGCUCUUCUAUAGUGUUGGUUUGUAGGAAUUGUGCCACUGAUAUAUUCUGGUUUUUUGCAAAGCUAAAGAGCCUUGGAAGUGAGUCCUUUAGGAGCCUGUUAUUCCAAACAUCUAACCAGAAAAGAACACUUUUUUCAUCUCCCACCGUACAUGUAGCCACACCUCUGAAUUGGUCACAUAGCUUCAACAGAUCUUUCCACCAAAAUGAACCAACCUCCCCGGCUGCAUGAGGAAUUGUACCAUCUGCAUAAUAGGUACUCCAUAUGAGUUUGACCCAUGGAAUGUCCCUUUUAUUGUAGAAUUUAUCUAAAUGUUUUAAGAGCAAGGCUGUAUUUUGGCUUCUUAAGUUUAUGACUCCAAGUCCCCCCUUCGCCUUUGGUCGAUGUACCUUUUUCCAUGCCACCAGAGGUUUCUUUCUAUCAUUUACAUUAGUACCUCUCCAUAGGCAGUCCCUUCUUGCUCUAUCCAUAUUUUCUACUACUCCUAAUGGGAUCUUCAAGGUGCACAUUGUGUAUGUAGGAAGUGCUGAGAAUACUGAUUUUGUGAGUUCAACCUUGCCAGCAAGUCCUAGGAAUGUGGCUGUAGCAGUUAGCCUUCUCUCCAUUUGAUUCAUAAGGGGGGCGAAAUCGUUUAUUCUGGGCUUUGUGGUUCCAAGUGGUAAACCCAAAUAAGUGAAGGGAAGGGAUCCAAGUUGACAACCAAAAACUCUAGCGAGACUAGAUGCUUUCUCUUGGCUGAGGUUUAGAGGCACCAAACAAGAUUUCUGGUAAUUUACUCUGAGGCCAGUUGAUUGUGAGAAACCCUCAAGAAUUUCUUUCAAGCAGAAUAGUUCUCUUUCCAAGGCUUUCAUUACCAUGAUAGUAUCAUCCGCGUACUGAAUAAUAGGGAAGUCAUUGGAAGCUGAGCAUGGUAUUGGAAGACUGAAAAUCCCUUGGGAGUGAGCUUUGUUCACAAUAUAUUGGAGCAAUUCAGCAGCAAUGACAAAUAGGAGAGGUGAUAAGGGAUCUCCCUGCCUGACCCCCCCCUUUUGCAUUGAAAUUCUUUCCCAGGAGUUCCAUUUAAGAGGAUAGCCGAGGUGCCUGUGUCCAAGAUUCUUUUAACCCAGUUGCACCAGGUAGAUGUGAAACCGAGGUGAUGCAGCAUGCACAAGAUGGUGAUGUGCUCAAUAGUGUCAAAAGCCUUCUCAAAAUCCAGCUUAAGAAUGAUAAUUUCUUGUUUGGAGUAUUGGCAUUGGUGAAUGUACUCAAAUGACCAGGCAAGACAAUCCUGUAUUGUCCUAUUUUUUAUGAAUCCAUAUUGAUUUUGAUGGACUAGAGGAAUAAUAACUCUUUGUAGCCGAUCAGACAUGAUCUUGGUCAAUAGCUUCAAAACUGAGUUUAGGAGGGAGAUGGGCCUGAAAUCAUUGACAGAGCUUGGAUUAUUACAUUUAGGAAUUAGGGUGAUGAAUGAGCUGUUGAUGGCCUUCAGAUCAAGAUUUCCAGCAAAGAAUUCAUUGCAAAGAUCAUAUAUGUCCUCUUUAAUUAUGUGCCAACACUUCUUGAAGAAAAGGCCAUUGAAGCCAUCCGGUCCUGGAGAUUUAUCUGUAGGCAUUUGAGCUAUUGUUUUGUCAAUUUCCUCCCUUGUAACUGGUUCAGAUAAGUGAUCAAGAUUGUUGUGUCUGUGUAUCAGGUUCUCUAGAUCAAUUUGCAGAAUAGGAUUAGUGGUCAUUCCCAUUCUCUUUUUGUAGGCCUCCAAUAGCAGUGCAGCUUUUUCAAAGUGUUCAGUAAUUUGUCUUCCAUCCUCAGUCUCUAAACUAGUUAUUGUAUUGUGCCUGUAUCUCUCAGUUGCUGCUGCAUGAAAAAUUUUUGUACUUUCAUCCCCAAACUUUGUCCAUCUCACUGUAUAUCUCUUUUUCCAAUAUUCCUUCUGAUAUUUGAGCAGUGUGAGGAUAUGCCUUCUUAGAAUGAUUCUGAAGUUUCUCUCUUGAAUAAACAAGGGCCUUUGUUCCUCUAGUUUGUCUAAGAUCAGUAGGACAGAGUUGCAUUCUUUGAUUAAGUUUGAAAGUUGUGCCAUCCCUUUGGUCCAUCUUUUAAUGGCUCUUCUCAAUAGUUUGAAUUUUGCAGUAAUUCUGGUUGCAGCAUUACUACCUCUAACCUCAGAAUUCCAUACACUCUGAACUAGAUCUAUGAAACCUGGAAUGUCCAUCCAAAAAAUUUCAAAUCUGAAAAUCUUUGCUUUUGGGAUUUCUGUGCCAAUUUGUACUUGACAUGGUAUAUGGUCAGAAAUUGGCUUUGCAAGGGGGUGCAUGAGGGUGCUAGGAUAAGAACUUAUCCAAUUAGCCGAGGUAAAGCACCAGUCCAGUUGCUCAAGAAGUGGAUCUUCUUGCAUAUUACUCCAUGUGUAUUUUCUGCCCUUUAAAGGAAUUUCUUGUAUGCCAAGGUUGCUUAUUAUGGAAUUGAAGAGGAAGAUGUCAUUCAUAUUACCCCCAGGUUUGUUUCUGUCACUUAAGUCUCUGUAGAAGUUGAAAUCCCCAAUAAGCAUCCAAUUCUCAUUCUCAGCUAUGGAUAAAUCAUUUAGCCAAUUUACAAAGUUGAUUCUCUCAUCUCCUUGGCAUGGGCCAUAGACUGCAGUGAGUUUCCAGGAGCUGUUGUCAUAUUUUGAGGUAAACUUGACUGUUACAGCAUAAUUGAGACAGUGUAUAACUUCUCCCUUAAAUAUACUACUGUUCCAUCCCAUUAAUAUUCCUCCUGAUGCUCCAAUAGAUGGUGCAUAUGCAAAUUUAUCGAACCUUUUUGGUGCUAGCUUCUUGAUGAAAGAGUGAUCAAAAGUUUCCUUUUUUGUUUCUUGUAUGCAAUACACAGAACAUGUGCUUUCCUCAAUUUUGGCCUUGACAGCUUCACAUUUGCCAUCUCCAUUAAGUCCUCUAACGUUCCAGUUUAGUACAUUCCAGCUUCUCUUAUGAUUUGUAUUAUCCAUUCAGAUUCAUUUGGGAGUAAUUGUAAUAGGAAUGACUCCAAGAGUCACUUCUCACAUUUGCACGCUGGACACACUCAUUCAUCAGACUGCAGGAAUAUUGAUGAUAUAUUUUGAGGUCAUCACAGUUUUUGCAUAGUCUCCAUGCCCAACAUUUGCACUGUAACCAUCUGAUUCUGAUGCUAUCCCAUCCCAGCAUUGAGAAGGUAAUUCCACCAAGAAAAUGGAGUAUGUGAAUAAUUAAACUCGAGUUCGCAAAAGAAGGCCACACAAGACACCAUUCAGGUUUAGGCUGCCACCACAAUAUCCAGCAAUCACAGAUACGAAAUUUAACCCAAGAUAAGCUUAAAAAUAGACAACAUGGAACUAGUACAGGGCAUUCCCUGAGAGGAAGCUUCUUCUUAAGUCUUCUAUCCAUUGAUCACAGGGUUGUUGCUUGAUGCCCUUCCUUCUGCACCAGUUUCAUCUUGAUUGGCCUUCUGGAGGAGCUCUGCCGUCACAUCCGAAGGAGAGAGGCCGCAUCUAUUGAUAGCCACAUUUUGAAUUUCAAUUAUAGGGAUCUCAGGGAAAAUACCCUCUGUUUUUUCAAGAGUGCCUAAGCCAGGGAAUUCAAUUUCUUGAUCAAGUGCAGGGAGGAGUAGUUUACCAGUCAGCUGGGAAUGGCUGGCAACCUCCUUGGGGCCUUUCUUUCUUCUUUUCAGAGUUUCUCCAUUGAUAGCAUCUGGAGCUUUGCUGCCUUUGUGUUUGUUAUGAAUUCUCUCACUCCUCAGGUUUUCAGUGUUGAUAGGAGUUUUGUUCUUUACUUGGCUUCUCAGCACUCUGACACUCUUUUCCACUAAUUUUCUUUUUCUUGCUUCUUUAUUUCCCUCAACAGCAAGAUGUGAUGUACCAGUGGCAUUUUCUUUUUGAAUGAGUUCUUUGUUUGCUGGCCGCUUCCUUCUAGUAUACACCUUCAGUUUUCCACUUUCCUUUCCUUUUAUGAGGGAUCUCUUACCAGCUUCGCAGCCAAGCAUUGCUACUGUUUCUAGUGUCUUCACUUCAGGGGUGAUAAUUUGAAUACUCUCUAUCCCAAGGCCAGAGAAAUUGAUUAUAAUUCCAUCUAAAGGAAUUGUGAUGCUACUGGUGCUUCUACUGGUGCCACAACCUUGAAUUUGCUGAGCAUGCUGCAUAACAACUCUCUUGAGGCAUUUCCUACUGCUGCAUUGACUCCAACUCACUGUUUUGAGCUUGAUUUGGGGAAGCUUCUUGGAGUUGAGCAUUUUCAGCAAGUGGAUUCUGCUGCAUUUCCUCACCAGGGAUCAAAGGAGCUUCAACUGCGGCAUCAUUAUUUUAUGGAAUAAGAGGAAUCACAACUUGUUCAGGACCAGCAACAGGAACGAAAAGAGGCUGAUCAGCUUGGUUGACUGAGCUAACAUUGGAGCCUUGGUUUUGGUCAUCCUGAUCAUCUCCGAUUGGCCAUUCCCCAAAGCCUUGCUGGUUCAUCUGAUUUUCUGCCAAUUCAGCCACUUGUUCAGGUUCUCCAGGGGCUACAGGUCCUUCAUGAGGGUGAGGGUUACCAUUGUUUGGAGGGGGUGGGAUUUCCUCAUCGGGCAUCAUAUCUGCAAAUUCAUUGUUGAGGAUAUACACAGGCACAGUCCAAGAUCUCCCCUCUCCAUCUAUAGUUCUACCAGCUUUCAGUUUCAGGCUACGAGGUAUUUCUAGUAGAUCCUCAAAUAGUACUUUCACCAAUACCCUUGACAAACUGUAAUCUGUAGCAUGCCAAUGAACAACCUGAGCAAAAGGGCUACAUGCUUUAUCUAUAUAUUGUUUUUCCUUGUAAUCCAGGGGGUAUCCCAGAAGUAAAAUCCAACCAAUCCUAUUGAAAGGUGACCUCUUACAGUU